GACGAACGCUGGCGGCGCGCCUAACACAUGCCAGUCGAACGAGCGAGAGAGAGCUUGCUUUCUCGAGCGAGUGGCGAACGGGUGAGUAACGCGUGAGGAACCUGCCUCAAAGAGGGGGACAACAGUUGGAAACGACUGCUAAUACCGCAUAAGCCCACGACCCGGCAUCGGGUAGAGGGAAAAGGAGCAAUCCGCUUUGAGAUGGCCUCGCGUCCGAUUAGCUAGUUGGUGAGGUAACGGCCCACCAAGGCGACGAUCGGUAGCCGGACUGAGAGGUUGAACGGCGACAGGGGGGCGGCGCCACGGCGAAGACGAGGAGGGGGGGCAGCUGGGGGGAAUAGCGAAGCAUGGGGGACGCCCAGAGGCGGCGACGCGGGGGGGAGGAAGAGGGUCGUCGGAUUGUAACGUCCUGGUGGUGAGGAAGAUAAUGACGGUACAAAAAAAGGAAGUGGCGGCCAACGACGGCCCAGCAGCCGCGGUAAGACGCGGAAGAGAACACGUCCGAAC
rnacentral:rRNA from 1 species